AGCGAACGCUGGCGGUAGGCCUAACACAUGCAAGUCGAACGGCAGCACAGUAAGAGCUUGCUCUUACGGGUGGCGAGUGGCGGACGGGAGAGGAAUACAUCGGACUCUACUUUUUCGGGGGGGAUAACGUAGGUAAACUUACGCUAAUACCGCAUACGACCUACGGGUGAAAGCAGGGGAUCUUCGGACCUUGCGCGAUUGAAUGAGCCGAUGUCGGAUUGGCUAGUUGGCGGGGUAAAGGCCCACCAAGGGGACGAUCCGUAGCUGGUGUGAGAGGAGGGUCGCCCACCUUGGAACUGGGACACGGUCCUGGCUCCUGCGGGAGGCCCCAGUGGGGAAUGUUGGGCAAUAGGCGCAAACCUGGUCCAGCCAUACCACGUGGGUGAAGGAGGCCUUCGGGUUGUGAAGCCCUUUUGUUGGGAAAAAAAAGCAGCAGGUUAAUACCCCGCUGUUCUGACGGUACCCAAAGAAUAAGCACCGGCUAACUUCGUG
rnacentral:rRNA from 1 species